AUGAUUGAUGUUGCUAAUAAAGUGUGUGUCUCUGAUGAUAGUGAUAAGAUCAAAUGGGCCUUGGGCUCUAAAUCCUACUUUACUACUAGGUCAAUUUACUCUUUCUUGGAAUAUAAUAUAUGUGAAAAUGACUAUCAUUGGAUAUGGAAGGCAUGUAUGCCUUUGAAGAUACAAAUCUUCAUGUGGCAGCUGUCGCAGAACGCGGUUUUGACUAGGGAUGUAAUGAAGAAAAGGGGGUGGAAAAAGAACCCUAGUUGCUCCUUUUGUGCAGAGAAAGAGACUUCUCAGCACCUUUUCUUUACUUGCCCAAUAGCCAGGGUGACCUGGAGGGCUGUGGCAUGCAUGUUUGGGACUGAUCUAUGCCUGAACAAUCUUUGGCAAGCCUAUUCGUGGUGCCAUUCCUUCUUCCCAGAAGGAGAGGUGUUCCAUACUAUUGGCAUUGCUACUGUCUGCUGGGCUAUUUGGACCUGUCGUAAUAGAGCUACAUUUGAGUUUAUAUCUCUGCUAAAUCCUUUUGAAUGCACAUUUUCUGCUUGUGCUCUCUUGUGUUAUUGGGCAGGGUUGAUGAAAACACAGAAGGAUUCAGAUGACCUGAAAACUGGAGCCACUAUGCUGAAGGAAAGCGCUUCAAGACUGAUGCAGACAUGUGCCACGGCGUACCACGAUGAUGGAGCUCGCUGA
rnacentral:rRNA from 1 species